rnacentral:rRNA from 1 species
UAAUACAUGCAAGUCGAGCGAACAGACGAGGAGCUUGCUCCUCUGACGUUAGCGGCGGACGGGUGAGUAACACGUGGAUAACCUACCUAUAAGACUGGGAUAACUUCGGGAAACCGGAGCUAAUACCGGAUAAUAUAUUGAACCGCAUGGUUCAAUAGUGAAAGACGGUUUUGCUGUCACUUAUAGAUGGAUCCGCGCCGCAUUAGCUAGUUGGUAAGGUAACGGCUUACCAAGGCAACGAUGCGUAGCCGACCUGAGAGGGUGAUCGGCCACACUGGAACUGAGACACGGUCCAGACUCCUACGGGAGGCAGCAGUAGGGAAUCUUCCGCAAUGGGCGAAAGCCUGACGGAGCAACGCCGCGUGAGUGAUGAAGGUCUUCGGAUCGUAAAACUCUGUUAUUAGGGAAGAACAAAUGUGUAAGUGACUAUGCACGUCUUGACGGUACCUAAUCAGAAAGCCACGGCUAACUACGUGCCAGCAGCCGCGGUAAUACGUAGGUGGCAAGCGUUAUCCGGAAUUAUUGGGCGUAAAGCGCGCGUAGGCGGUUUUUUAAGUCUGAUGUGAAAGCCCACGGCUCAACCGUGGAGGGUCAUUGGAAACUGGAAAACUUGAGUGCAGAAGAGGAAAGUGGAAUUCCAUGUGUAGCGGUGAAAUGCGCAGAGAUAUGGAGGAACACCAGUGGCGAAGGCGACUUUCUGGUCUGUAACU